CGUUUUUAAAUGAAAACAAAGAAAACAUUGACAGUAAUGAUGUAUCACGGCUUAGUCUGGUGUUUGAAGGAAAUCGGAAUCAUCUUGACAACUAGUACAAAGGGUUUUAUUUAUAGUCCUAGAAUAAUAAAUAUCUUACACAAUUGUA